GCGGUGUAUAGCUCAGUUGGCAGAGCAUCACUGGGUGCCAAGGUGAGGGUCGCGAGUUCGAGUCUCGUUGCCCGCU
rnacentral:tRNA from 1 species